rnacentral:rRNA from 1 species
UCGAGAAUCUUCGGCAAUGGACGAAAGUCUGACCGAGCGACGCCGCGUGUGUGAUGAAGGUCUUCGGAUUGUAAAACACUGUAAGUUAGGAGGAAAUGCAGGUGGGUUCUCCCAUCUGUUUGACCUAUUUUCAAAGUAAGCUCGGGCUAAGUUCGUGCCAGCAGCCGCGGUAAGACGAACCGAGCAAACGUUAUUCGGAAUCACUGGGCUUAAAGGGUGCGUAGGCUGUCUGAUAAGUGGGGUGUGAAAUCCCUCAGCUCAACUGAGGAACUGCGCUUCAAACUGUCGGACUCGAGGAAGGUAGGGGUAAUCGGAACUUGCGGUGGAGCGGUGAAAUGCUUUGAUAUCGCAAGGAACACCAGUGGCGUAGGCGGAUUACUGGACCUUAUCUGACGCUGAGGCACGAAAGCUAGGGUAGCGAACG